UUUUAGUUAUUUUUCACAAUAUAUAGCAAUACACAAAAUAGAAAAUACACUCUCAUAAUAAUACACUCAUAUACAAUUAAAAAAUAAGCAAAAACAAAAAAAAGGUAUACAUAAUUUUUUUAACUAAAAAGCUAAAGCCCAAUGUCUUAUACACUCGGUGUACAACUUUUUUACACCGUAUUUAUAAAAUUUUAUUAUAAAGGUAAAAAUCUAUUAAGUUUUGUAUAUAAAUUUUUUAUUAAUUAUAGAUUGUAUUUAUUAAAUAAAAUUUUAAUUUAGUUAUAUUAACUAUUAAAAAAAAGGGUUGGCCCAUGCGAUAAAAUUUUAUAUUUGGUGUAGGCAAAAAUAAAAAAGAAAAGGUGUUGAAAGAAAAAAAAUAAAAAAAAGAAAAGGUGUAGGAUGUGAGAGAGAGUGAGAGAGAAAAAAAUGUAGGCCCAUAUGUGUGUGUGUGUGUGUGUGU
rnacentral:lncRNA from 1 species